rnacentral:tRNA from 1 species
GCUGGCCUGGCGUGAGGCAAGCCGCUGCUGCGAUUCGAGCGCGGCAAGCGCCUUGCGGCGCUGCGCCAGUUCGCCCUGGCCGGCCCGCA